GCUGGGUUGGCUCAGUAGAUAGAGCAUAAGACGCUUAAUCUCAGGGACGUGAGUUCGAGACCCACAUCACCCAAAA